UCCAGACUCCUACGGGAGGCAGCAGUGGGGGAUAUUGCACAAUGGGGGGAACCCUGAUGCAGCGACGCCGCGUGAACGAAGAAAUAUUUCGGUAUGUAAAGUUCUAUCAGCAGGGAAGAAAAUGACAGUACCUGACCAAGAAGCCCCGGCUAACUACGUGCCAGCAGCCGCGGUAAUACGGAGGAUGCGAGCGUUAUCCGGAUUUAUUGGGUUUAAAGGGUGCGUAGGCGGAAUGCCAAGUCAGCGGUAAAAUCGCGGGGCUCAACCUCGCUCCGCCGUUGAAACUGGCGUUCUUGAGUGGGCGAGAAGUAUGCGGAAUGCGUGGUGUAGCGGUGAAAUGCAUAGAUAUCACGCAGAACUCCGAUUGCGAAGGCAGCAUACCGGCGCCCAACUGACGCUGAAGCACGAAAGCGUGGGUAUCGAACAGGAUUAGAUACCCCAGUAUU
rnacentral:rRNA from 1 species